AAAUAGAUAUAGACACCUCAUUGACCAAUGGUUCUGACACUGACUCGACGAAACACAGUAUCUAUAGCCAGGUAAGUUGUAAGCUCCAUUAAGAAUGGAUGAAUGAAUUCAAAUUUUGCUGAUAAGAAUAUUACAUCGUUGUUGAUUUGGACGAGAAUAAGGAAAUUUGGAAAUUAAAGAUUAGGCAUUAGUUUAAAUAAUGUUUUUUCUUUUUGAUGAGAUUCCCGUUAAAAAUUUGUUGAUGAGAUUUAUUUGUUUGUCUCACCAUAAUUCUUCCUCCUCUCCACGAAAUGCACCUCUUGCUCUAAUUGGUUCCUUGUCUUGUCAUCACCAUGUAUGUAUUACCACAUCACGGAAACAUGAAUUGUCGCGAAGAGAUUUUCAGCCUCUAAGGAGUCACUGACAAUAUCAGAGCUUGAGAAGGAAAUCCCGAGCUAAGUCGGAUUGUUCACUUGUUUUUUCAGGAAUACGUGAGGUGUUAUUUAUAUACCUUCUAGAUGACAUCUCCGCUCUCUUCAUCAUUUGGGCUCUCAGACAGGUCGACAAUAAGUAUAUUGUACAAUUUCUCGAUGGAUGAGGGAGUUAAUUACAAACUAGUUAGGGAUUUUAUUUUGGCGUUUCACUAUUUGAAGUUCAAUGACAGCAACACAUUUUUUCAACUCAUCAUAUAAUAAAAAUGUUCUAGAGUCAAGGAAGAAUUUUAACCAACUUCAGAUUUAAAUAAUUGAGGAUUGAGAGCACCACCCUCAAAUGACAAUGUUUUUCGUUUGAAGUGUUCACACAUGCUGCAUGAGAAGGCUUAUGCUUGUAGAUCGAGAAAUCAAGAGGUGAAAUGAUGUAAUAGUCUCAAUACAACAUAUUAUAUAAAUUGGUGAAGGACUCAUACUGAGGCUUUUCACUUCCCUCGGUCAAUUGAGAAGACUUAGAACAAGAAUUUGAGUAGACGCAUGAAAUGAAGGAAUCGUUAAAAAAAAUGAUGAUUCACAAAAUAAAUAUCUCAGUUUUUGGAAAUGGAAAAUUAUCUACACCCCAUCAGUAUACUUUCUCAAGAGACUGUUUUUUCCAAAAAGGAGGAAUCAUCGGUAUAAGAAAAAACUGUAUUUGAUGUUCUCGAAGAUAUCAUUCAAAUAUAUCACGAAGACGAUCGGUCUAAGAAUUGACCCCUGAGGGACACCAACAACAACCUAUCGCAAACCUGAAACUCCUCUAUUCCACCUUACUGCCUGGCAUUUACCAGACAGCUUUUCUAAGAGGAUAUCAUGGCUCAUAGUAUCGAAAGCCUUACUCAGGUCCACACAUUUCAUUCCCAUUUCUCCAGAAUUAUUAAAAGCCUCCACAAUAUUCUCAAGAACCUCGAUCAUAGCAAUUAUGGUGAUUUGGACUCCCUGAAUCCGUGUUGGGCAGGAUAGAAGAGUGAUCCCUUUUGAUUCUUUUGAAGGAAGUCAUUUAACCGAUAUUUCAAAAAUCUUCGAAAAGGCAGACAAAACCGAUAUAGGCCUGUAAUCGGAGCAUUAUUCUUUUUUUUUCGUUUUUGGAAUUGGAGUAACCAGAGCUUACUUGAGUUUACCAGGAAAGACCGACUGAUUAAUACAGUCAUUCAAAAUCUUGCAGAGAGGUUUUUCAAUGAAUUGGAUUGAGCUUUUCAUUAUUGAAACUGACAUUCCAUAGAAGUCUUUGGAGUUCUUGUUUUUCAGAGUCUUUGCCGAGUUGCCCAUUUCAGUUUCAGUCACAGAAUAAAGAAGAAGUGUAUCCAAAUUAUUCAUCUUGUUUUUCAGUAGAGUCUUCUAAUAUUCUUCUGCUCACUAAUGCAUAGUAUUCAUUCAAGUCAUCCGGUGUUAUGACCUCUUCCAUGCUGUUUUGCUUUCCUUUAACUUGUAUUUCCAGAUUAAUCAACCUCCAUAUUGCAUUCGUUUUGUUCUCAGCUCCAUUCAGUUUCCCCUGAUUUCUUGACUUCACUGAGUUGGUUAUGGCCUCCUUGAGUGAUCUCUUCAGCAGAUCACAAAGUUCUUUACUCCUUUCAUCUUUUUUCACUUCAGCGAUAGUUUUUGCUGCUUCUAAUUCCUUCUUGAGAUCUUUUGUAGUUUUAGUUGGUCUAUAUUUUUUAUGUUCUUUGACCUUCACAAUCGUUUCAGGAAAGGGGAAGUUGAAAUUUUCAAAGAAUCUAUUGUGAAUGUUUCCAUAUUGUUGUUUGCGUCAUCGCUGUGGAUAAGAAUCCAAUUUUCACUAUUUAUCCUCUGUAUGUAAUUAUUUUCGUUUCUUCUUUAAAAAUCCUAAUCGUUUUCAAUUUCUUCUUUUCAAUUUUUUUGUAGACAUCGGUAAAAAUUUCAAAGAAUCUAUUGUGGAAGUUUUCAUAUUGUUGUUCUGCGUCAUCUGUGUAAAUAAGAGUCCAAUUUUCAACAUUUAUCCUCUGUAUGUAAUUAUUUUUGUUCUUGUCAUUGAAAAUCUUAAUCGUUUUAAAUUUCUCGUUUUCAAACUUUCUGUAGACAUCAGGAAUUUUGAGGAUCUGCGCUCGAUGAUCAGAAAUAUGAGGUUCAACCGUUUUAAUUUCACCUUCUUCACAAAAAAAAUUGUAAAGAUAUUGUUGAUGCAGAUUGAGGACGUCUUACCUACUCUUGAUGGCUCAUAAAAUAUCUGACUCAUUUUGUAGGAGCCGAACACAUCCAACAUCUUAUGCUGUUCACUUAUUUGAUGAAUUUGUCCAGAUAAAGCCUCAUCAUAAUCUCCAGCAAAAAUAAUGCGGUCACCUCCAUAGCUCUCCAAAGCAACAUCCAGUGCCAUCCCAACAACCAACAAAAACGACAAGAAACUGCCACAUAGAGGCCGAUAAACAACUACCACAACUAAUUUUUGCUUGGGUAUUCUAACAGCUGUCAUUUGAAUAUCCCUCUCGAUGGAUCAUUUUAAUUAGGUAUAUCUUCAAUUGCAAAGUCCCGUUUAGUUCAAAAUUCGUAAAUUACAGAUUUUAUGACGAAAUAAAAGGCGAUAUGUUCAGGGAACAUCAAGGACCGAUAUAAUUGAAUAAUAAAAUAAGAAUCAGUUAACGCUUCAACCAUAAAAACCCAAAUAAUAUUCACCUUAUUAGCAUCAAUUUUCUUUCAUUUAAUAUCGUUAAUUAAAAAAAAAAAUCUAGGCCGAAUUCCUCCGCCUCAAAUUUCAGGCAAUUAUCAAAUGACAAGGAGAGGGUAUAGAAGCCCUAUGAAUCUAAUUUUGUGCCGUGUUGCAAAGUGUGCAUAAAGUUUGCAUGGGUGGAACGAUGCCGCAUUAAAAGUCGAAAGGGGGAAUUUGGAAUUAUUAAGUUGGGAGAACUGAAGAGGGUCGCGAUAACCCGCCGACAAUGGCCAGGAAAUGUAGUUACACUGCUCAAAUGACACAUGCAUGAUGCGAUUACAAUUAUAUGAAUAUGUAUGGUCUGCUCCUUUCUGACGAAGGGUAAUUGAAGAAUCUCGGAUGGAUGGGCACCCCAGCUGACAAUGACUGAUUAAUUCAAGAACAUCGGCGACUGGAAAACAAGCCCCAAAACAAGGGAAAUUGCAGAUACUUGUGGAUGUGAUACAGCACAAUUUAACUGAAAUAUUUUUCGUCAAUACAUGUAUAAAUACUCUGUUGAAUAAGAAAAUAUUUCAGAAAAAUUAGCAAAGCACUGAUUUGAAGUAAGCUUUUGUGCACUCCUUCAUAAAUUUAAUUUUCAGUUACCUAUAUCUCGCAAUUGUUUCUAUCGAAGGAAAUGAUUUUCGGAAUAUGUGAUGAAUCUUCUCCGCAUACAAAAAUUCAUCCACACCUUCCAGUUUCUUCAUUAUG